CCUACGGGAGGCAGCAGUGAGGAAUAUUGGUCAAUGGACGAGAGUCUGAACCAGCCAAGUAGCGUGAAGGAUGACUGCACUAUGGGUUGUAAACUUCUUUUAUAUGGGAAUAAAAUGUUCCACGUGUGGGAUUUUGUAUGUACCAUAUGAAUAAGGAUCGGCUAACUACGUGCCAGCAGCCGCGGUAAUACGGAGGAUCCGAGCGUUAUCCGGAUUUAUUGGGUUUAAAGGGAGCGUAGGUGGAUUGUUAAGUCAGUUGUGAAAGUUUGCGGCUCAACCGUAAAAUUGCAGUUGAAACUGGCAGUCUUGAGUACAGUAGAGGUGGGCGGAAUGCGUGGUGUAGCGGUGAAAUGCAUAGAUAUCACGAAGAACUCCGAUUGCGAAGGCAGUUCACUGGACUGCAACUGACACUGAGGCUCGAAAGUGUGGGUAUCAAACAGGAUUAGAUACCCUAGUAGUC
rnacentral:rRNA from 1 species